AACAGGAUUAGAUACCCUGGUAGUCCACGCUGUAAACGAUGUCGACUUGGAGGUUGUGCCCUUGAGGCGUGGCUUCCGGAGCUAACGCGUUAAGUCGACCGCCUGGGGAGUACGGCCGCAAGGUUAAAACUCAAAUGAAUUGACGGGGGCCCGCACAAGCGGUGGAGCAUGUGGUUUAGUUCGAUGCAACGCGAAGAACCUUACCUACUCUUGACUUCCAGAGAAUUUGCUAGAGAUAGCUUAGUGCCUUCGGGAACUCUGAGACAGGUGCUGCAUGGCUGUCGUCAGCUCGUGUUGUGAAAUGUUGGGUUAAGUCCCGCAACGAGCGCAACCCUUAUCCUUUGUUGCCAGCACGUAAUGGUGGGAACUCAAAGGAGACUGCCGGUGAUAAACCGGAGGAAGGUGGGGAUGACGUCAAGUCAUCAUGGCCCUUACGAGUAGGGCUACACACGUGCUACAAUGGCAUAUACAAAGAGAAGCGAACUCGCGAGAGCAAGCGGACCUCAUAAAGUAUGUCGUAGUCCGGAUUGGAGUCUGCAACUCGACUCCAUGAAGUCGGAAUCGCUAGUAAUCGUGGAUCAGAAUGCCACGGUGAAUACGUUCCCGGGCCUUGUACACACCGCCCGUCACACCAUGGGAGUGGGUUGCAAAAGAAGUAGGUAGCUUAACCUUCGGGAGGGCGCUUACCACUUUGUGAUUCAUGACUGGGGUGAAGUCGUAACAAGGUAACC
rnacentral:rRNA from 1 species